CCAUAUGUGCCUACUGAAUAUUUAAAAUAUGGCUAGUGUGACUGGGAGCUGAAGUUUCCAUUUUAUUUAGACUUAACUAGCUCAAAUUUAAAUAGCCACAUGUAACUUAUGGCUUGGUAUUGGACAGCAUAGAACAUCUAUAGAAAAUCAAAAGCAGUGGGUAAAAAAUGAGGAAUCAGAAGAAGUAUUUCAGAAAUGUGAACUAUUGUCAGCUGUGAAGGUUCCAAGUGCCUUCUAGAUGGCGUAUUUAUACCUCAAAUCUCUGGAACUGGGUAGCAGAAGACAUUGCCUGGGGACUAUAUAAUUCAGCUCUGAUGGGGAUAUACAAUGACAAACAGAGGUAAAGUUAACCUCUACCUGUGGUUCAGGAGGAGGAGCGCCCCCUGCCUUCUGUCCCUAACCUGCUCAGAACAUCAUUGACAAUGAGCUGUCCAUGCUUGAGAAGAUCUGCAGAGCCAUGAAAAUAAAGAGAACUUCAC
rnacentral:lncRNA from 1 species